UGCCAGAGAGACAACCGGGAAAACUCCUUACGACCUGUUUAGGAAAAGCUUUCUCAAAGCGGGAGCUGUUCCGGGGAGGAGGAGAGAGGAUGCAUGUGGUCUGGGUACGGGUGUGGGGCAGAGAGUGUUGCCCAGCCCUCUCUCAUUCGUGACAUGCAUAUGUGGAGAGUGUGAGCACUGCAAGGCACCAGGGCAUGCUGGCAUCCCUCCAUGGGGCUGCUACUUGCUGCCGAAGGGGGCCAGCUGGGGAGGCCCAUGGCAGUCCCAGUCUCCACCUGCAAAGGGGAGGAAUCCACAUCUCAGCCCAGGUGUGAACCAGCUCUCAGAGCAACAGGCUGCCAUGGCACCCCCCGUCAGAAACCAGGAGCCACGGUGGGAAAGAUCAUGUCUUCAAGUGACCGAGGGAGCUGAAAAGCGCAGUUUCAGCAUCAGAAUGAUUGUAGCUCUUCCUGGAUUCUCCUCCACUGGAAAAAGUGUUGCUGUUGGGAUCAGAGGACCUGGCUUUGUGUCUGGUCUUUAGCAUUUACUAAACCUUAGAAUGCUCAUUUAAACUCCCUGAGCUUCCAUCUUCCCACCUCCAUCAUGAGAACAGCACCUUGAGAACUCACUGAAUAGGCCCUUCUGCAGGGUCUCCGACGUGCCGCAGGGUCUCCGACGUGCUGCACUGUGCUGGGACCUGGGAAGGAAAGGCUCUGACAGUCAUUCUCAUUCCUGCCAUCUCCCUGAUGCAGAAGACAACAUUUCAGGAAAGUUUAAAUAAAAAAAAUAUACGUAUGAAACUGGUUUACAAACUACUGCUCAAUACCAAACCACGAGUGGCAGUACUGCGAGUAUUGAGUGAGUCUCAAAGCCUGAGUCUCUCAUCCCACACAGUGCUUGGUUCACUGUGGAAGGUGCAGGAAGAGGGAGAGGCUCCUUAUCCUGUAGGGGUCACAGUCAUGUACAGGAGAUGACCACAUGCCCAGAUGGCAAUGACACCUGGCCAGAGGAGGAAAGUGCCGCAAUGCAGCUACGAACCAAUCCCAAGCUGCCAAGAGGCUGGAAUGCUGUGUUCAAAAUGGGAGGGGCAGGUGUAUCAGGAAGCUUCACCUUUGGAUUGUGUCCAGGAGUUUGAGAUUUCAACAUAGAGUGCCUAGAAAAGUGGGUUUUUAGAGGAGAGAACCUUCUGUCAUUCCAGGAUUGAGACUGAGAAAUGAGCCAGCCUCCUGGAAAGAAGGCUGGAGAAGCCAUAUUAGGAGCCCAGGGGCUGGGCUCAUUUGCACCAAGCCAGAGUGCACCUCAGACCGAGCCGUUGCUGAUGUCUGCAGGUGCCAGUUGUUCUCCAGCAUUGCCAAGCCUGCCCCCCAACUGACAGGAGGAGCUGGAAGGGGGAUCUGGGCAGCAGAGAUUCUCGGGAGACUCUGGGCCACACAGCAGGAGAUGCUAUUUAUGGGAAAGAAAAGCUACCCAAUGCCUUGGGUGCUGUUUCCAGAAAGUUCUCUGGUCAUGGCAACACGUAGGGACCACAUUUCGGGAGCAUCUAUAGAGCAUUUUCAUUUUUCUGCCCGGGCUUGUGUGUCCGCUGUGAUGUCACAAGAUGAACCCAGGCAGCCUCCAGCUAUGACCUAGUGGUGGUGAGGCUCCAGGAGAAGCCAUAGGUCUGAGGGAUGACAGUAACCAGGCUCAUGCUGUCACCCUCCUAGCAGCACCAUCUGCAUAGGACUUUCAAGUUUACAGACACCUUUCACCCCUCUCACUUCAGGUGAGCCUCACAAUUAGCAUGUGAGUCUGUUUUACAGAUGAGGAAACUAACAUGCAGAGGGCAGUAUCUAUUCAGGAUCAUAAUAAGGGCAAAGUCAGGAAGCUCUUCUGAUUUAAGCCCUGACUUCUAUGGGUUAUAGGAAACUUGGAAAAGAGAAGCGCUCACGGUCUAAGUUUCCAAACCUAGGAUUUCCCCACUUCAUUUGCGUGAAUGCAAAUGGGAAGGCUUCUCUCUGCCAGCGCCAAUGACUCAUCGCAGAGCCAAGGGACUCCCCAAUUUCCCAACAAUGCUUGGGGCCCUGGCAGGACCAAAAAAGGCUCAGAGAAGCUAAUUCUCGAGAGGGCAAAAGGCCUGUUCGAGGAUCCAUGGCAGUGGGUAGUGGGUCCAAGGCUUCUGGUUACACAGAGUGUCCUGCUUUCUUCCCAGGAUGUCCAGGGGUCUCCCGAGUGAAUCUUCUCUUCCACGGCAGCCUACACAGCACUGGUGACAUGGAUAGCACCUUCCUCCCAUGAAUCCGGAGCUUCCUGAGGGGUCGACUAUUGAAAAAGCAUCGCAUUGCACCCGCUAGCUGGGGAGACACAGCCACAAGGCCAAGCUCAAGGAUCACAAAG
rnacentral:lncRNA from 1 species